UACGGAGGGUGCAAGCGUUAUCCGGAUUCACUGGGCGUAAAGGGUGCGUAGGCGGGCAGGUAAGUCAGUGGUGAAAUCUCCGAGCUUAACUCGGAAACUGCCAUUGAUACUAUUUGUCUUGAAUAUUGUGGAGGUAAGCGGAAUAUGUCAUGUAGCGGUGAAAUGCUUAGAUAUGACAUAGAACACCAAUUGCGAAGGCAGCUUACUACACAAUGAUUGACGCUGAGGCACGAAAGCGUGGGGAUCAAACAGG
rnacentral:rRNA from 1 species